GCAUCUCCAUCCCUAAAAAAAAAUAGCCUAGUCAAUUUUAUUAAAAUAUUAUUAUUAUUUAUUAUAAAAUAAUAAUUGUAUUAUAAAAAAAAGAAAGAUAAAGUCAUCCCUCUGUACUCUUCCUACCAACCGGUUCUCUCCCUCUCUCUCUAUUUUCUCCCCCUCUCUCUCUUUUGCAGCUCACUCCCGUGAGCUCUUCUUCUCAUUCCUCUUCAAAACCUUCAACAAAUCAAACACAAAAUAUUAUUUUUGUAAUCCCUGGAGCUCAAGGAACCCAACCAUGGCCUUGCAUGCGGCAUCGGUGCAUGGUGCGAGAUCCCACCAUUGAAACCGAGAGCUUGAGCUCUCAAUCUCUAACCCAGGUGAUGUUUCUAUCACUGUAUCGUGUUCCUGAGCUUUAAAUCCUGUUGUGUUGCAAUUUUUGUGGUUAAUUUGAGGGCUUAAUUCCCUGCAUGUGAUUCCGACAAAGGAAAACGGACAACUCCGACGAGUUCAAGGUCCAAUCUCGGUGAAAUCUCUUGCAUUUCACCUGGAUUUUCCGUCAAACUCGGGCCAUCAUUUUCAGGCCAUUUGCCUUCUCCCUCCGUCGCUCCAUCCAUCGCUGACAUCACCACGGCGUCAUAUGGGCCGGUCCCAAGGUCUGUCAAUUUUGGGCUGGCCUGGAGACCAGCUUGGGCUGGGUGCCAGGCAAUCCUG